UACGGAGGGUGCAAGCGUUAUCCGGAUUCACUGGGUUUAAAGGGUGCGUAGGCGGGCAGGUAAGUCAGUGGUGAAAUCUCCGAGCUUAACUCGGAAACUGCCGUUGAUACUAUUUGUCUUGAAUACUGUGGAGGUAAGCGGAAUAUGUCAUGUAGCGGUGAAAUGCUUAGAUAUUACAUAGAACACCGAUUGCGAAGGCAGAUCACUAAUAAGUCAUUGAUGCUGAUGGACGAAAGCGUAGGUAGCGAACAGG
rnacentral:rRNA from 1 species